rnacentral:sRNA from 1 species
GGUGAAAGUGCAAUGGAAAAAAAACCCAGACCAACAAAUACUAUAGUUGACAAGGGAUGAUUUUCUUUAGCAGAAUUUCUUUCAUCCUUGAAGAUAAACAGCUAUGUUAACCACUUUGUUCCACAGAAAAGAAGAGCUGGCUUUCAACUAAAACUGAAAAUCUUAUCAAAUAGAAUUCAAAAUUAUAUAUAAUUAUAUAUAGGGAUAUUUGGGUUAAAUACAAUGGUACAAACAAGUAUUUUCUGAACUAUUUCAAAGUAAAUGUGUGCCUGACUUAUACUCUGUCUAUUUUUGAAAAUAAGAUGUGUUCAUAUGUCAAUGCUGAUGCAUAAUGAUUUAUUACCACUUGAUCAUUUGAGUUGUUGAAUUAUUUUCAGUGAAAAUUAUUACAAUUAAUGAUGGUAAAAAUUAAAGUUGAUAUUCAU